rfam:Agreia bicolorata strain VKM Ac-1804 NODE_1, whole genome shotgun sequence.
GGGGAUGAUCGGUUUCGACACUGCCUGCGAAACUGCGAGAAGCGGGCCGAGGAUUCAGGGUUAUCUCGUUAACGAUCUCUGAAAAACAAUAAGUGCCAAUUCAAACCGCACUGUCUCUGCUCAGGCAGACUUCGCCCUCGCGGCGUAGUUCUCUUCUAAGCACUAAAUAGAGACCGUCAGUCCGGGAAUGCUCUCUACCCGGGUUCUGGCGAUAUUCAGAGAGAUUGCUUCCGCGUUACGCCUGAGGGCGCGGAGGGACUUGCACUCGGGCUGGGCCCGUCGAGCUAGAUGCCUGUAGCAAAGCUCGGGGCCGAGUAGAACGACUCAACAGGAUACGCCCGUAGAAGGCGCAGAAUCACAGCAGUGGACCGGGGUUCAAUUCCCCGCAUCUCCACCA